UACGUAGGGUGCAAGCGUUGUCCGGAAUCAUUGGGCGUAAAGCGCGCGUAGGUGGCUUCGUAAGUCCGUUGUGAAAGUCAAAGGCUCAACCUUUGAAUGCCGAUGGAUACUGCGAAGCUAGAGUACGGAAGAGGCGAGUGGAAUUCCUGGUGUAGCGGUGGAAUGCGCAGAUAUCAGGAGGAACACCAAUAGCGAAGGCAGCUCGCUGGGACGUUACUGACGCUGAGAAGCGAAAGCAUGGGGAGCGAACAGG
rnacentral:rRNA from 1 species